CCUCUCGACUCUCGAGUGUCUCCCCUCUCCUCUCUAGCUCUCCUCCGAUGUCCGGACUCUUCGCCUCCCAAGCCCUCUCCUCCGGACCUUCGCCUUCGCCCUCUCCUCCCCCGUGCCGAUAACUUCGGCCUCCCCGUCGACGGCGACCAUGGCGGCUCGAUGGGUCUUGGGAUUUUUUUGGCUCCCGUCGCCUUCCCUCUCCCUUUUCCGUUCGAAGUCUUCCAUGGUCAGAUCCUCUGCUCUACCGAGGAGCUUGUGACCGAGUUUCAGGGCACAUCCAAAGAAGGUAAUAGAUGAGAAAGCCUUUUGUUUUUUUGUCAUCUGGAUUAA